UGGGGAAUCUUCCGCAAUGGACGAAAGUCUGACGGAGCAACGCCGCGUGAGUGAAGACGGCCUUCGGGUUGUAAAGCUCUGUGAUCCGGGACGAAAGAGCCUGAGGUAAAUAGCCUAAGGAAGUGACGGUACCGGAAAAGCAAGCCACGGCUAACUACGUGCCAGCAGCCGCGGUAAUACGUAGGUGGCAAGCGUUGUCCGGAAUUAUUGGGCGUAAAGCGCGCGCAGGCGGCUUACUAAGUCCAUCUUAAAAGUGCGGGGCUUAACCCCGUGAUGGGAUUGAAACUGGAAAGCUGGAGUAUCGGAGAGGAAAGUGGAAUUCCUAGUGUAGCGGUGAAAUGCGUAGAGAUUAGGAAGAACACCGGUGGCGAAGGCGACUUUCUGGACGAAAACUGACGCUGAGGCGCGAAAGCGUGGGGAGCAAACAGG
rnacentral:rRNA from 1 species